rnacentral:lncRNA from 1 species
UUUUACUGUCUGUAGUCUAAACAAGAAGUUUUAUAUUUUGUAUUUUUCAUUUCAUUUUCUAGAUAUUAAAUUACUCCUUUGCUCAGAAAGGUCAUUUAAGAGGGACAGCAAUAUAUCACUUCACUGAUACUUAUCAUAGGCUUGAAGUGGCUGUCAUAAUGUUCAACCAUUUGGGACAUAUGGAAAUACAAGGAGAGCAAACCAGUUAAUCCUAAAGAAAAUCAGUCCUGAAUAUUCAUUGGAAGGACUGCUGCUGAAGCUGAAAC